GGAAUAACAGUUUCAAUUAAACUAAAAAGAAAUUUCUUAAUAGGUGAAAAUUCCUUUAAUUAAUAUGAUAGACGAGAAGACCCUAAGAAUUAUAUAUUAAAAUUAUUCAUUUAUAAAAUUUUUGUUGGGGCAACAGAUUUGGUUAAAUCAAUAAUUUUUAAAUUUGCAUAUUAAGUAUAUUUAAUAAGAAUUUAAUUACCUUAGGGAUAACAGCAUUAUUAAUAUAUUAGAUUGUGACCUCGAUGUUGGACUAGGGACUUUUAAAGUAAGCCAUUUUAAAAGAUUGUUCUGUUCGAACAUAAAAC
rnacentral:rRNA from 1 species